GAUGAACGCUAGCGGGAGGCCUAACACAUGCAAGCCGAGCGGUAGAGUCUCUUCGGAGACUUGAGAGCGGCGCACGGGUGCGGAACACGUGUGCAACCUGCCUUUAUCUGGGGGAUAGCCUUUCGAAGGGAAGAUUAAUACCCCAUAAUAUACUGGAUGGCAUCAUCUGGUAUUGAAAACUCCGGUGGAUAGAGAUGGGCACGCGCAAGAUUAGAUAGUUGGUGAGGUAACGGCUCACCAAGUCAGCGAUCUUUAGGGGGCCUGAGAGGGUGAUCCCCCACACUGGUACUGAGACACGGACCAGACUCCCACGGGAGGCAGCAGUGAGGAAUAUUGGACAAUGGGUGAGAGCCUGAUCCAGCCAUCCCGCGUGAAGGACGACGGCCCUAUGGGUGGUAAACUUCUUUUGUAUAGGGAUAAACCUAGAUACGUGUAUCUAGCUGAAGGUACUAUACGAAUAAGCACCGGCUAACUCCGUG
rnacentral:rRNA from 1 species